rnacentral:rRNA from 1 species
CCAGACUCCUACGGGAGGCAGCAGUGGGGAAUAUUGCACAAUGGGGGAAACCCUGAUGCAGCGACGCCGCGUGAAGGAAGAAGUAUUUCGGUAUGUAAACUUCUAUCAGCAGGGAAGAAAAUGACGGUACCUGACUAAGAAGCCCCGGCUGACUACGUGCCAGCAGCCGCGGUAAUACGUAGGGGGCAAGCGUUACCCGGAUUUACUGGGUGUAAAGGGAGCGUAGACGGCAGUGCAAGUCUGGAGUGAAAGGCGGGGGCUCAACCCCCGGACUGCUCUGGAAACUGUACGGCUGGAGUGCAGGAGAGGUAAGUGGAAUUCCUAGUGUAGCGGUGAAAUGCGUAGAUAUUAGGAGGAACACCAGUGGCGAAGGCGGCUUACUGGACUGUAACUGACGCUGAGGCACGAAAGUGUGGGGAGCAAACAGGAUUAGAUACCCUUGUA